rnacentral:lncRNA from 1 species
GGGAAAUGAUUUAAUUAUUAAAGCUGUGAACUUUACGUCCGUUCUUUCCCGUGUGUUCACGAUGAUCUCAUAAUUUCCACAUGGACACUCCUGUCUGUCACGUUUCUCAAAGCUGCACCCACACGUGGAUCCCACUGCACGCCUUCAUGCAGGAGCGGUGUGUCCCGGGAGUUUCCCUGACUCCUGUUCUUAGAGGGACAGAGCGACCUCAGGACCUUCUCAAAAGAAGAAGGGAUGUGGCAGACCUGGGGGCACCUCAUUAAAUGAAAUUCUGGGGAGCAUUGGCAGGUGGAGGCAAUACGUGUGAUGGAUUCCCGGGUCUGGCAGUGGCGUGCCUGAGCCUGGGAUCCAGCCGGUACCUGGGCGUGUGUGGACAAAACGCCUCCUAACAAGUUCCCGGGCCCUGACACCACGGGCGGCAUUCGUGUGGGGAACGCGGGGCACCCAGAUGGCUCAUCUAUUUCUGUGCUCCAUUUUAAAAAAUGGCCAUGGGACAGACACAUGGCUUCAUCAGAGCUAAAUCCGAUUUGCCUGUUUGGCUUUCAGAAGUGGUUGAACCAGAUGCUCAAAGAACCUGAAUCGGCGCUUGUUUGGAAGAGGAUGCACUGCAGAAAUCCUCCUGUAAGUCACAGUAUCCACUUUGGAAAUCCUCCUGUAAGUCAUAGCAUCCACCACAUGUCCUGGCUGCGGAAGAGGCUGGUGGCAGCUUCAAAAGACACCUAAUCUGUAACCAGCACAAAGGGUGGUCGAUGAAGACUCGGUCUCAGUGAAUAAUUUAUUGGCAUAAGCUAAGCACCAAACACAGGAGAUCACCAUAAAACCACAAGGACCAGGACAGCCAUUGAGCUUUGUGGCUUCUUCAUGGGGGAAGACGUGAGACAAAACGUGCUUGGACUUUUCGUCACAACCCUCGGAAAACAGCACGUCCUGAUUUUUCAUCCCAGGCUCCUCCAAGUUUAACUUUCUUUAAAAAUACAUAGGUAAUGAUGAAUAUCUAUCUAUCUAUCCUUUUGAAACACAAUAUUGAUAUUGGCUAUCGGUAUCUGGCUUUUCAUAUCUCCCCCCAUGGCUGAUAUCAGCCACAGGGUAAACAGAAGAUCACAUUUGUUAUAACUGCUAUGGGAAUGUUAUUAAAAAUGGAUACAGUCACGGUAAAUUGGUAGCGGUCAAAAUGUAUUUUAAAUUUACUUGCAGGUGUGUUUGAACACAGAGCAUGACACACACACUGCAUGCUAUAAAUAUGAGAUGUGGAAUGAAUUAUAU